UACGGGGGGGGCAAGCGUUGUUCGGAAUUACUGGGCGUAAAGGGCUCGUAGGCGGCCAACUAAGUCAGACGUGAAAUCCCUCGGCUUAACCGGGGAACUGCGUCUGAUACUGGAUGGCUUGAGUGUGGGAGAGGGAUGCGGAAUUCCAGGUGUAGCGGUGAAAUGCGCAGAUAUCGGGAGGAACACCAAUGGCGAAGGCAGCUUGCUGGGACGGUACUGACGCUGAGACGCGAAAGCGUGGGGAGCAAACAGG
rnacentral:rRNA from 1 species